rnacentral:misc_RNA from 1 species
UCUCCGUAGGUGAACCUGCGGAGGGAUCAUUAACACGUUUAUAACAAACGUUUUAUCAACCAAAACCUUGAACAUAUAAAACACAACUCCCUUCACAUAUAGUGACGUACGCACACCCAUCAGGGUGGAGUGGGGGGAAUAUUAAUAUUAAUAUUAAUUAUCCCCGCAUCUAUGGCUCGUCUAGGGUUCAUCGAGACCCAAUCCUAUGUGAAGUGUAUUUGCGACCGCCUGGUAGUUUGACUACCAUUUCAGAUCUAACCCGAUCUUGAUCUAACGUAGCUUUCUGCCGAAUUUUUCUUUUAACACAUUUUUUAACCCCGUUAAAAACAUAAAAUAUAACUGAGCCAUUUGCUCAAAACAUAAGCUAUUAGUUUAGUUCGAUGAAUGAAAAAAGAUAUACGUAAUGCUGAACAACUCUUAGCAAUGGAUAUCUUGGUUCUG